rnacentral:rRNA from 1 species
UACGUAGGGUGCAAGCGUUAAUCGGAAUUACUGGGCGUAAAGCGUGCGCAGGCGGUUUCGUAAGACAGAUGUGAAAUGCCCGGGCUUAACCUGGGAACUGCAUUUGUGACUGCAUGGCUAGAGUUUGGCAGAGGGGGGUAGAAUUCCACGUGUAGCAGUGAAAUGCGUAGAUAUGUGGAGGAACACCGAUGGCGAAGGCAGCCCCCUGGGUCAAGACUGACGCUCAUGCACGAAAGCGUGGGGAGCAAACAGG